rnacentral:rRNA from 1 species
GGGUUGUGAGGUUAAGCGAAUAAGCGUACACGGUGGAUGCCUAGGCAAUCAGAGGCGAUGAAGGACGUGCUAAUCUGCGAAAAGCGUCGGUAAGGUGAUAUGAACCGCUAUACCCGACGAUAUCCGAAUGGGGAAACCCAGUAUCCAAUGGAUACUAUCAUUAACUGAAUCCAUAGGUUAAUGAGGCGAACCGGGAGAACUGAAACAUCUCAGUACCCCGAGGAAAAGAAAUCAACCGAGAUUCCCCUAGUAGCGGCGAGCGAACGGGGAGCAGCCCAGAGUCUUAAUCAAUAACAGUGUCAGGAGAACGGUCUGGAAAGUCCGGCAGUAAAGGGUGAUAGCCCCGUAUCUGAAGAUGCUGUUAUUGUGAACUCGACGAGUAGGGCGGGACACGUGUUAUCCUGUCUGAAUAUGGGGGGACCAUCCUCCAAGGCUAAAUACUCCUGAUUGACCGAUAGUGAACCAGUACCGUGAGGGAAAGGCGAAAAGAACCCCGGCGAGGGGAGUGAAAAAGAACCUGAAACCGUGUACGUACAAGCAGUAGGAGCCUCUUUAUGGGGUGACUGCGUACCUUUUGUAUAAUGGGUCAGCGACUUAUAUUCUGUAGCAAGGUUAACCGUAUAGGGGAGCCGUAGGGAAACCGAGUCUUAACUGGGCGAAUGAGUUGCAGGGUAUAGACCCGAAACCCGGUGAUCUAUCCAUGGGCAGGUUGAAGGUUGGGUAACACUAACUGGAGGACCGAACCGACUAAUGUUGAAAAAUUAGCGGAUGACUUGUGGAUGGGGGUGAAAGGCCAAUCAAACCGGGAGAUAGCUGGUUCUCCCCGAAAGCUAUUUAGGUAGCGCCUCGUGAACUCAUCUUCGGGGGUAGAGCACUGUUUCGACUAGGGGGUCAUCCCGACUUACCAACUCGAUGCAAACUGCGAAUACCGAAGAAUGUUAUCACGGGAGACACACGGCGGGUGCUAACGUCCGUCGUGAAGAGGGAAACAACCCAGACCGCCAGCUAAGGUCCCAAAGUCAUGGUUAAGUGGGAAACGAAGUGGGAAGGCUCAGACAGCCAGGAUGUUGGCUUAGAAGCAGCCAUCAUUUAAAGAAAGCGUAAUAGCUCACUGGUCGAGUCGGCCCGCGCGGAAGAUGUAACGGGGCUAAACCAUGCACCGAAGCUGCGGCAGCGACACAAAGUGUUGUUGGGUAGGGGAGCGUUCUGUAAGCCUGCGAAGGUGUACUGUGAGGUAUGCUGGAGGUAUCAGAAGUGCGAAUGCUGACAUAAGUAACGAUAAUGCGGGUGAAAAACCCGCACGCCGGAAGACCAAGGGUUCCUGUCCAACGUUAAUCGGGGCAGGGUGAGUCGACCCCUAAGGCGAGGCUGAAAAGCGUAGUCGAUGGGAAACGGGUUAAUAUUCCCGUACUGGUGGUAACUGCGAUGGGGGAACGGAGAAGGCUAGGUUGUCCGGGCGACGGUCGUCCCGGUUCAAGCAGGUAGGCAGAGUGAUUAGGCAAAUCCGGUCACUUAAUGCUGAGAUGUGAUGACGAACCACCAAGGUGGUGAAGCAAUUGAUGCCCCGCUUCCAGGAAAAGCCUCUAAGCUUCAGGUUACCAACAAUCGUACCCCAAACCGACACAGGUGGUCAGGUAGAGAAUACUCAGGCGCUUGAGAGAACUCGGGUGAAGGAACUAGGCAAAAUGGUGCCGUAACUUCGGGAGAAGGCACGCUGGCGGUAGGUAAAGUCCCUCGCGGACGGCGCUGAAGCCAGUCGAAGAUACCAGCUGGCUGCAACUGUUUAUUAAAAACACAGCACUGUGCAAACACGAAAGUGGACGUAUACGGUGUGACGCCUGCCCGGUGCUGGAAGGUUAAUUGAUGGGGUUAGCGUAAGCGAAGCUCCUGAUCGAAGCCCCAGUAAACGGCGGCCGUAACUAUAACGGUCCUAAGGUAGCGAAAUUCCUUGUCGGGUAAGUUCCGACCUGCACGAAUGGCGUAAUGAUGGCCAGGCUGUCUCCACCCGAGACUCAGUGAAAUUGAACUCGCUGUGAAGAUGCAGUGUACCCGCGGCAAGACGGAAAGACCCCGUGAACCUUUACUAUAGCUUGACACUGAACAUUGAGCCUUGAUGUGUAGGAUAGGUGGGAGGCUUUGAAGUGUGGACGCCAGUCUGCAUGGAGCCAACCUUGAAAUACCACCCUUUAACGUUUGAUGUUCUAACCUAGGCCCAUAAACUGGGUCGGGGACCGUGUCUGGUGGGUAGUUUGACUGGGGCGGUCUCCUCCUAAAGAGUAACGGAGGAGCACGAAGGUUGGCUAAGCAUGGUCGGACAUCAUGCGGUUAGUGCAAAGGCAUAAGCCAGCUUGACUGCGAGAGUGACGGCUCGAGCAGGUACGAAAGUAGGUCUUAGUGAUCCGGUGGUUCUGAAUGGAAGGGCCAUCGCUCAACGGAUAAAAGGUACUCCGGGGAUAACAGGCUGAUACCGCCCAAGAGUUCAUAUCGACGGCGGUGUUUGGCACCUCGAUGUCGGCUCAUCACAUCCUGGGGCUGAAGUAGGUCCCAAGGGUAUGGCUGUUCGCCAUUUAAAGUGGUACGCGAGCUGGGUUUAGAACGUCGUGAGACAGUUCGGUCCCUAUCUGCCGUGGGCGUUGGAAGAUUGAGAGGGGUUGCUCCUAGUACGAGAGGACCGGAGUGAACGCACCACUGGUGUUCGGGUUGUCAUGCCAAUGGCAUUGCCCGGUAGCUAAGUGCGGAAGAGAUAACCGCUGAAAGCAUCUAAGCGGGAAACUUGCCUCGAGAUGAGUCUUCCCUGUCGCUUUAAGCGACCUAAAGGAACGUUUAAGACUAAGACGUUGAUAGGCUGGGUGUGUAAGCGUAGCGAUACGUUGAGCUAACCAGUACUAAUGAACCGUGAGGCUUAACCUGACAACACCGAAAGUGUUUUG